GGCGGUUCUCUGGUGACACACCCCAGGAUUGGGCUCCCUCUUCUCCGAUUCCAGGUGCGUCACCUGAGAACCACA
rfam:Myotis davidii contig176713, whole genome shotgun sequence.